rnacentral:rRNA from 1 species
AUUGAACGCUGGCGGCAGGCCUAACACAUGCAAGUCGAACGAGUGGCGGACGGGUGAGUAAUGUCUGGGAAACUUCCUGAUGGAGGGGGAUCACUACUGGAAACGGAAGCUAAUUCCGCACUCCAUACGCUGUGGCUAGAUGGGAUUGGCGAGUUGGGGGGGUAACGGCUCACCAAGGCGACGAUCCCUAGCUGGUCUGAGAGGAUGACCGGCCAAACUGGAACUGAGACACGGUCCAGACUCCUACGGGAGGAAGCAGUGGGGAAUAUUGGACAAUGGGCGAAAGCCUGAUGCAGCCAUGCCGCGUGUAUGAAGAAGGCCUUCGGGUUGUAAAGUACUUUCAGCGGGGAGGCGUUACCCGCAGAAGAAGCACCGGCUAACUCCGUGCCAGCAGCCGCGGUAAUAC